ACAAGAAAAUGAUCUUUGUUAUCUCAAGAUAAUGAAUUAAUUAAUUUGUUAUCACAAGAUAACGACCAUAAAAUAAUAUGUAAAACCACGGCUGUUCUCAGCUUCUGUGGAUUUGUGC